rnacentral:rRNA from 1 species
AAAUACUCAGAUACGGCCAUAUCUACUGAAAACCACCGGAACCCAUCAGAACUCCGAAGUUAAACCAGUAUGAGCUUAAUCAGUACUAAGAAGGGAGACCACUUGGGAACGUUGGGUGCUGUA